GGGUUGUGAGGUUAAGCGACUAAGCGUACACGGUGGAUGCCCUGGCAGUCAGAGGCGAUGAAGGACGUGCUAAUCUGCGAAAAGCGUCGGUAAGGUGAUAUGAACCGUUACAGCCGGCGAUGUCCGAAUGGGGAAACCCAGUGCAAUUCGUUGCACUAUCGUUAACUGAAUACAUAGGUUAACGAGGCGAACCGGGGGAACUGAAACAUCUAAGUACCCCGAGGAAAAGAAAUCAACCGAGAUUCCCCCAGUAGCGGCGAGCGAACGGGGAGCAGCCCAGAGUCUGAAUCAGCUUGUGUGUUAGUGGAACGGUCUGGAAAGUCCGACGGUACAGGGUGAUAGUCCCGUACACCAAAAUGCACAGGUUGUGAACUCGAAGAGUAGGGCGGGACACGUGGUAUCCUGUCUGAAUAUGGGGGGACCAUCCUCCAAGGCUAAAUACUCCUGACUGACCGAUAGUGAACCAGUACCGUGAGGGAAAGGCGAAAAGAACCCCGGCGAGGGGAGUGAAAAAGAACCUGAAACCGUGUACGUACAAGCAGUGGGAGCACCUUCGGGUGUGACUGCGUACCUUUUGUAUAAUGGGUCAGCGACUUAUAUUCUGUAGCAAGGUUAACCGUAUAGGGGAGCCGCAGGGAAACCGAGUCUUAACUGGGCGUUAAGUUGCAGGGUAUAGACCCGAAACCCGGUGAUCUAGCCAUGGGCAGGUUGAAGGUUGGGUAACACUAACUGGAGGACCGAACCGACUAAUGUUGAAAAAUUAGCGGAUGACUUGUGGCUGGGGGUGAAAGGCCAAUCAAACCGGGAGAUAGCUGGUUCUCCCCGAAAGCUAUUUAGGUAGCGCCUCGUGAAUUCAUCUUCGGGGGUAGAGCACUGUUUCGGCUAGGGGGUCAUCCCGACUUACCAACCCGAUGCAAACUACGAAUACCGAAGAAUGUUAUCACGGGAGACACACGGCGGGUGCUAACGUCCGUCGUGAAGAGGGAAACAACCCAGACCGCCAGCUAAGGUCCCAAAGUCAUGGUUAAGUGGGAAACGAUGUGGGAAGGCACAGACAGCCAGGAUGUUGGCUUAGAAGCAGCCAUCAUUUAAAGAAAGCGUAAUAGCUCACUGGUCGAGUCGGCCUGCGCGGAAGAUGUAACGGGGCUAAACCAUGCACCGAAGCUGCGGCAGCGACACUAUGUGUUGUUGGGUAGGGGAGCGUUCUGUAAGCCUGCGAAGGUGACCUGUGAGGGUUGCUGGAGGUAUCAGAAGUGCGAAUGCUGACAUAAGUAACGAUAAAGCGGGUGAAAAGCCCGCUCGCCGGAAGACCAAGGGUUCCUGUCCAACGUUAAUCGGGGCAGGGUGAGUCGACCCCUAAGGCGAGGCCGAAAGGCGUAGUCGAUGGGAAACAGGUUAAUAUUCCUGUACUUGGUGUUACUGCGAAGGGGGGACGGAGAAGGCUAUGUUAGCCGGGCGACGGUUGUCCCGGUUUAAGCAUGUAGGCUGGUUGUCCAGGCAAAUCCGGAUAAUCAAGGCUGAGGUGUGAUGACGAGGCACUACGGUGCUGAAGUAACAAAUGCCCUGCUUCCAGGAAAAGCCUCUAAGCAUCAGGUAACAUCAAAUCGUACCCCAAACCGACACAGGUGGUCAGGUAGAGAAUACCAAGGCGCUUGAGAGAACUCGGGUGAAGGAACUAGGCAAAAUGGUGCCGUAACUUCGGGAGAAGGCACGCUGGUGUGUAGGUGAAGUCCCUGCGGAUGGAGCUGAGACCAGUCGAAGAUACCAGCUGGCUGCAACUGUUUAUUAAAAACACAGCACUGUGCAAACACGAAAGUGGACGUAUACGGUGUGACGCCUGCCCGGUGCCGGAAGGUUAAUUGAUGGGGUUAUCCGUAAGGAGAAGCUCUUGAUCGAAGCCCCGGUAAACGGCGGCCGUAACUAUAACGGUCCUAAGGUAGCGAAAUUCCUUGUCGGGUAAGUUCCGACCUGCACGAAUGGCGUAAUGAUGGCCAGGCUGUCUCCACCCGAGACUCAGUGAAAUUGAACUCGCUGUGAAGAUGCAGUGUACCCGCGGCAAGACGGAAAGACCCCGUGAACCUUUACUAUAGCUUGACACUGAACAUUGAGCCUUGAUGUGUAGGAUAGGUGGGAGGCUUUGAAGCGUGGACGCCAGUCUGCGUGGAGCCAACCUUGAAAUACCACCCUUUAAUGUUUGAUGUUCUAACGUUGGCCCCUUACCGGGGUUGCGGACAGUGUCUGGUGGGUAGUUUGACUGGGGCGGUCUCCUCCCAAAGCGUAACGGAGGAGCACGAAGGUUAGCUAAUCCUGGUCGGACAUCAGGAGGUUAGUGCAAUGGCAUAAGCUAGCUUGACUGCGAGCGUGACGGCGCGAGCAGGUGCGAAAGCAGGUCAUAGUGAUCCGGUGGUUCUGAAUGGAAGGGCCAUCGCUCAACGGAUAAAAGGUACUCCGGGGAUAACAGGCUGAUACCGCCCAAGAGUUCAUAUCGACGGCGGUGUUUGGCACCUCGAUGUCGGCUCAUCACAUCCUGGGGCUGAAGUAGGUCCCAAGGGUAUGGCUGUUCGCCAUUUAAAGUGGUACGCGAGCUGGGUUUAGAACGUCGUGAGACAGUUCGGUCCCUAUCUGCCGUGGGCGCUGGAGAAUUGAGGGGGGCUGCUCCUAGUACGAGAGGACCGGAGUGGACGCAUCACUGGUGUUCGGGUUGUCAUGCCAAUGGCACUGCCCGGUAGCUAAAUGCGGAAGAGAUAAGUGCUGAAAGCAUCUAAGCACGAAACUUGCCCCGAGAUGAGUUCUCCCUGAGACUUUAAGUCUCCUGAAGGAACGUUAAAGACGAUGACGUUGAUAGGCCGGGUGUGUAAGCGCAGCGAUGCGUUGAGCUAACCGGUACUAAUGAACCGUGAGGCUUAACCUUACAACGCCGAAG
rnacentral:rRNA from 1 species